rnacentral:rRNA from 1 species
GAUGAACGCUGGCGGCGUGCCUAACACAUGCAAGUCGAACGGAGUUGUGCAUCGGAAGUUUUCGGACGGAAGAAGCAGAACUUAGUGGCGGACGGGUGAGUAACGCGUGGGUAACCUGCCGUAUACAGGGGGAUAACAGUUGGAAACAACUGCUAAUACCGCAUAAGCGCACACUGUCGCAUGACAGAGUGUGAAAAUUUCCGGAGGUAUACGAUGGACCCGCGUCUGAUUAGCCAGUUGGCAGGGUAACGGCCUACCAAAGCAACGAUCAGUAGCCGGCCUGAGAGGGUGGACGGCCACAUUGGGACUGAGACACGGCCCAA